ACUGUAUUGGUUUAGCUUGGAUGCCAUAAUAAAAUACCAUACUCUGGGUGGCUUAAACAAUAGAAAUUCAUUUUCUCAUUGCUAUGGAAGCUGGCAGUCCAAAAUAAUGCACCAGCACUGCUGGUUUCUGGUAAGAGCCCACCUUCUGGCUCGCAAAUGGUUUCCUCUCUCUGUUUUCACACCAGGCAGGGGAGCUCUCGCCAGCUGUGUGGUCUUCUUCCUAUAAGGGCACCUAGCCCACAUGAGCCGCCUACCCUUACGAUCUUAUCUAACCAAGCUUCCAAAGGCUUCAUCUUUAGAUACCAUACCAUGGAGGGCUGGAGCAUCAGUGUCUGGAUUUGGGGUAGUGGCGACAGUUCAGUCCAUAUUCUGACCCAUCAUUCCUUGCUUUCUAUAGCUUCUACCUCUGAGAGUCAUGCUGGAGUCCCGGAUUGGUCUUUUCUCUCUUUGGAGAGCUGAGUGAGCUCCAGGGAAUAUACAGGAAGAGCCUUUCCUAUGUUCACACAGGGCAGUGUUAAAGACUAUGUUAGAAUGGGCAUUAGGAGCCUCAACUUGGAUAAAGAUCAAGGCUCUCUUGAUUUAGGAUUACAGGAUCAAGCGACAAGACAAGGCCUGUUCAGCCAUCAGAAGCUUUCCAGCGACACUGCGAGGACCACCUGGGGAAGGGUGCCAUGUCAGUAUCAAUAGCUCUAGAAGAUUCUGUGGAGCAAGGAGCUCCUUCCUGUCUGUGAAUGUCUGCUCAGGCUACCAACUGUGGAGUGGCUGUUACAUCAGGUGUUGUUCUGAACACUUGGGUACAGCAAGAGUGAAACUAUGGCCAAUCCCUGUGUUUAUGGAGCUUACAUGAGGGCUGACUGCUGAACUACAAAUACCAUGCUUAGCUUCUAAAGCUGCAGGCUGGAAAAGCCACACCACGAAACGUUGGCAGAGGUCAGGCUUGUUUUGGAAGUGCCCAAUGGGGUCAGUGGUCUUUUUGCAAAAGGAGAGGCUGUCUGCCAGUCCUGAACGGAGGACGAAUGAAGGAAGUGAAGCUCACAGGGUGGCUGCUGGUGGUGACAUUUCCUCUCCACUUUCUGCUGGCAGUGGCUAUUCACAAAGGAGUCUGCCCACUGCCUGGGAUUCUGUGAUAUAUGCCAACACCUUCCCCUUUACUUAACUCGGAGCACUCAGCACCUUUGAUGUAAGGGCGAAUGCCUUUUUAUUUUUAAUCUGAACUGAACCUUUCCACAGGUGCUGGCUACCCCAGAGCUCACCAUAGCAUUUUCCUCUCAAGCACCCAGGGCUCCACAAUGAUGGCAGGCACCAAGAUCUGAAGAAGACUCCCUGUAGCAUCUCAUUUGCACUUCAUCCUCCGUGGCUUCCCUAGCUUCAGCUAGCUUACAGAACUGUUUGCUUUACCUAACCCAAGCUGGAGUGGCAACUGGGUCUCAGACUGUUGUCCUUGACGCUGAUAUGGGACUAUAAGACACUGCCUUUUUGGAAACUGUCUUUCAUGGAUUUGCAGUGAAACUUGGUCACAGAAUUCUGGCCCAAUGCCUGUCAAGGGUGUGGGAGUUGGAGUCAGCCAGGCCCAUGGAACCUUCCACAGCCCUCUUAUCUGUUAGUAGAAGGUGGGAGUAACCACACUGAGAACUGAAGGCCAUUAAGCUUGCAAAAGAGCCUCCAGAUGUUGCCAUGGAGCCAGCGCUUCUGACCUGGACCAGGCUUGGUCUAUGCAGGGGUUAGUUAACCAUUAAAAGGCUAAGGGUGCUGACUCAUGGAUUUAAUUUCUGGCUGGAGACAUUCAGUGCUUUAUAUCGCUCCCAACUAAUCCAGUGUCUAAAUGUUAACUGGAUGGAGGGCUUUGGGGGUGUGUCAAAUGAACACCAGAGAAUGCAAACCUGGGAGUAGAGACCAGUGCACCUGACAUUCAGGGUUUAGAGCAGGUUCAAGAGGAUGAGCAAUGCAUAGCUUUCAAAAAGGUGUGAGACCAUUAGUGAUGUGUGAG
rnacentral:lncRNA from 1 species